UCUGGUCCUUGUGUGCCAGCCGCCGCGGUCCUCCGUCGGGCGCGCGCGUUGUCCGGCCUUCCUGGGUGUCCCGGGCGCGUCGGCGGGAUGGCAAGUCAGAUGUGAAAUCUGAGAGCUCAACUUUCAGACUGCAUUUGAAACUGCUGUUCUUGAGUGAAGUAGAGGUAAGCGGAAUUCCUGGUGUAGCGGUGAAAUGCGUAGAGAUCAGGAGGAACAUCGGUGGCGAAGGCGGCUUACUGGGCUUUUACUGACGCUGAGGCUCGAAAGCGUGGGGAGCAAACAGG
rnacentral:rRNA from 1 species